rnacentral:rRNA from 1 species
GUCCACGCCGUAAACGAUAAUCACUAGAUGUUGGUUCGGCUUAGCUGGAUCAGUGUCGUAGCUAACGCGUUAAGUGAUUCGCCUGGGGAGUAUGGUCGCAAGGCUAAAACUUAAAAGAAUUGACGGGGGUCCGCACAAGCGGUGGAACAUGUGGUUUAAUUCGACACUACGCGAGAAACCUUACCUGGGCUUGACAUGUACUCGACAGCUGUAGAAAUACGGUCUUUUGGGUUUCGAUUCAAACGGGUACACAGGUGCUGCAUGGCUGUCGU